AGGGAGCGGGGGGGGUGCCUAAUACAUGCAAGUCGAACGCGUUGGCCCAAUUGAUUGAUGGUGCUUGCACCUGAUUGAUUUUGGUCGCCAACGAGUGGCGGACGGGUGAGUAACACGUAGGUAACCUGCCCAGAAGCGGGGGACAACAUUUGGAAACAGAUGCUAAUACCGCAUAACAGCGUUGUUCGCAUGAACAACGCUUAAAAGAUGGCUUCUCGCUAUCACUUCUGGAUGGACCUGCGGUGCAUUAGCUUGUUGGUGGGGUAAUGGCCUACCAAGGCGAUGAUGCAUAGCCGAGUUGAGAGACUGAUCGGCCACAAUGGGACUGAGACACGGCCCAUACUCCUACGGGAGGCAGCAGUAGGGAAUCUUCCACAAUGGGCGCAAGCCUGAUGGAGCAACACCGCGUGAGUGAAGAAGGGUUUCGGCUCGUAAAGCUCUGUUGUUAAAGAAGAACACGUAUGAGAGUAACUGUUCAUACGUUGACGGUAUUUAACCAGAAAGUCACGGCUAACUACGUGCCAGCAGCCGCGGUAAUACGUAGGUGGCAAGCGUUAUCCGGAUUUAUUGGGCGUAAAGAGAGUGCAGGCGGUUUUCUAAGUCUGAUGUGAAAGCCUUCGGCUUAACCGGAGAAGUGCAUCGGAAACUGGAUAACUUGAGUGCAGAAGAGGGUAGUGGAACUCCAUGUGUAGCGGUGGAAUGCGUAGAUAUAUGGAAGAACACCAGUGGCGAAGGCGGCUACCUGGUCUGCAACUGACGCUGAGACUCGAAAGCAUGGGUAGCGAACAGGAUUAGAUACCCUGGUAGUCCAUGCCGUAAACGAUGAGUGCUAGGUGUUGGAGGGUUUCCGCCCUUCAGUGCCGGAGCUAACGCAUUAAGCACUCCGCCUGGGGAGUACGACCGCAAGGUUGAAACUCAAAGGAAUUGACGGGGGCCCGCACAAGCGGUGGAGCAUGUGGUUUAAUUCGAAGCUACGCGAAGAACCUUACCAGGUCUUGACAUCUUGCGCCAACCCUAGAGAUAGGGCGUUUCCUUCGGGAACGCAAUGACAGGUGGUGCAUGGUCGUCGUCAGCUCGUGUCGUGAGAUGUUGGGUUAAGUCCCGCAACGAGCGCAACCCUUGUUACUAGUUGCCAGCAUUAAGUUGGGCACUCUAGUGAGACUGCCGGUGACAAACCGGAGGAAGGUGGGGACGACGUCAGAUCAUCAUGCCCCUUAUGACCUGGGCUACACACGUGCUACAAUGGACGGUACAACGAGUCGCGAACUCGCGAGGGCAAGCAAAUCUCUUAAAACCGUUCUCAGUUCGGACUGCAGGCUGCAACUCGCCUGCACGAAGUCGGAAUCGCUAGUAAUCGCGGAUCAGCAUGCCGCGGUGAAUACGUUCCCGGGCCUUGUACACACCGCCCGUCACACCAUGAGAGUUUGUAACACCCAAAGUCGGUGAGGUAACCUUUUUAGGAAGCCCAAGCCCCGCCCAG
rnacentral:rRNA from 1 species